rnacentral:lncRNA from 1 species
GUGGGCACCGUGCGCUGCUCGAGCUUGCAGGAAAGCCUGUCUCUCCGAGUGUGGCUGGGGAGGGGGCUGGGUUUCUUUUUGUUUCUAGAAGUCCCCUUCACCCUCGUUUGCCCCCGCGUACCGCCGAGAGGAUCGCGUGGAAUGGCUGCAGGGCUCCAGGGCGCACCCCACCCCACGCACGCCCUCUGGGGCGCCAGAAGGCGCGGCCCCGGGGGGAUCCCUGUUCCCAGGAGGAAGCGCGACUUUCAGUAGGUGGAAUGUGGAGAGAGUCAGAAGAGCUGAACAGAAUCUGGAGCCUGCUCCAAUGCAGCCUUGCUCCUGGCUGGUGACAUGUGGAUGACACUCUAUAACUAUCAGAUGGUCCCACAAAUACCAACAUUGCUGCUCCAUCUGAAUCAAAUCCUCCAUACCCACAAGGGUUGUUUGUCCUCUUUUCUGCCUGAUGUCACAGCUGGGAUACCUUGAUGUCACAAAGUGGAAGAUGAAGAGGCAUAGUCUAACAUGUGGAAGAAAAUGUGAUGCUGGGGUCCAGUUUUUCUUGAGUGGUUGUGCAUUUCUAUCUGCUUUUCUUAGCUCUGUUCAUUUCCCUGCUCCAGUAUUCACUUGCUGUUGCCAGGGACCCAUGAGCCUCGGAGUUGAAGUCAAGAUAGCUCCCUGGCUCUGGAUUUUGCAGUAAUGAAUGCACCCACCAAGGUAAUAAUAAACUCGCAGUCUCA